UCCGUGGUGGUCCAGUGGUUAAGACACUGUGCUUCCAAUGCAGAGGGCACAGGUUCAAUCGCUGGUCAGGGAA
rnacentral:tRNA from 1 species